rnacentral:rRNA from 1 species
UUAGAGUUUGAUCCUGGCUCAGGAUGAACGCUAGCGACAGGCCUAACACAUGCAAGUCGAGGGGUAACAGAGGCUUCGGCUCGCUGACGACCGGCGCACGGGUGAGUAACGCGUAUGCAACCUGCCUGUAACAGCGGGAUAGCUCCCUGAAAGGGGAAUUAACACCGCAUAAGACCACGCUCUCGCAUGGGGACGGGGUAAAAUAUUUAUAGGUUACAGAUGGGCAUGCGUGACAUUAGUUAGUUGGUGAGGUAACGGCUCACCAAGACUGCGAUGUCUAGGGGUUCUGAGAGGAUGAUCCCGCACACUGGCACUGAGACACGGGCCAGACUCCUACGGGAGGCAGCAGUGAGGAAUAUUGGUCAAUGGGGGGAACCCUGAACCAGCCAUCCCGCGUGCAGGAAGACAGUUCUAGUAAUUGUAAACUGCUUUUAUUAAAGAAGAAUAAGUUUGACUUGUCAAAUGAUGACAGUAUUUAAUGAAUAAGCAUCGGCUAACUCCGUGCCAGCAGCCGCGGUAAUACGGAGGAUGCAAGCGUUAUCCGGAUUUAUUAGGUUUAAAGGGUGUGUAGGCGGGAUAAUAAGUCAGUGGUGAAAGUUUUCAGCUUAACUGGAAAAUUGCCAUUGAAACUGUUUUUCUUGAGUUUGGAUGAGGUAUGCGGAAUGUGUAAUGUAGCGGUGAAAUGCUUAGAUAUUACCCAGAACCCCUAUUGCGAAGGCAGCAUGCUAAUCCAUAACUGACGCUGAUGCACGAAAGCGUGGGGAUCAAACAGGAUUAGAUACCCUGGUAGUCCACGCCGCAAACGAUGAGUGCUAGGUGUUGGGAGUCAAAUCUCGGUGCCGCAGCUAACGCAUUAAGCACUCCGCCUGGGGAGUACGUACGCAAGUAUGAAACUCAAAGGAAUUGACGGGGACCCGCACAAGCAGCGGAGCAUGUGGUUUAAUUCGAAGCAACGCGAAGAACCUUACCAGGUCUUGACAUACUAGUGACGUAUAUAGAGAUAUAUAUUUUUUUUCGGAGACACUAAUACAGGUGGUGCAUGGUUGUCGUCAGCUCGUGUCGUGAGAUGUUGGGUUAAGUCCCGCAACGAGCGCAACCCCCGCCUUUAGUUGCCAUCAUUAAGUUGGGCACUCUAGAGGGACUGCCGAUGACAAAUCGGAGGAAGGUGGGGAGGACGUCAAAUCAUCAUGCCCUAUAUGACCUGGGCUACACACGUGCUACAAUGGUCGGCACAACGAGCAGCGACACAGCGAUGUGAAGCGAAUCUCUUAAAGCCGAUCUCAGUUCGGAUUGUACUCUGCAACUCGAGUACAUGAAGUCGGAGUUGCUAGUAAUCGCGGAUCAGAAUGCCGCGGUGAAUAAGUUCCCGGGUCUUGCACACACCGCCCGUCAAG